rnacentral:rRNA from 1 species
AGUGAACGCUGGCGGUAGGCCUAACACAUGCAAGUCGAACGGCAGCACAGUAAGAGCUUGCUCUUACGGGUGGCGAGUGGCGGACGGGUGAGGAAUACAUCGGAAUCUACUUUUUCGUGGGGGAUAACGUAGGGAAACUUACGCUAAUACCGCAUACGACCUACGGGUGAAAGCAGGGGAUCUUCGGACCUUGCGCGAUUGAAUGAGCCGAUGUCGGAUUAGCUAGUUGGCGGGGUAAAGGCCCACCAAGGCGACGAUCCGUAGCUGGUCUGAGAGGAUGAUCGGCAAAACGGAAACUGAGAAACGGUCCGGAUCCCUACGGGAGGCACAGUGGGGAAAAUUGGAACAUUGGGCGCAGGCCGAUUCCGGCCAUACGGGGUGGGGAAAGAGGCCCUCCGGGUGGUAAAGCCCUUUUGUGGGGAAAAAAAAGCAGCAGGUUAAAACCCGGCUUUUCUGACGGUACCCAAGAAAUAGGCACCGCCAAACUUGGU